UACAGAGGGUGCGAGCGUUGUCCGGAAUCACUGGGCGUAAAGGGCGCGUAGGUGGCGGGCCAAGUCCAUGGUGAAAGCUCGAUGCUCAACAUCGAGUCGGCCACGGAUACUGGUUCGCUCGAGCACUGUAGAGGCUAAUGGAAUUCCGGGUGUAGCGGUGGAAUGCGUAGAGAUCCGGAAGAACACCGGUGGCGAAGGCGGGUCUCUGGGCCGAUACUGACGCUGAGGAGCGAAAGCGUGGGGAGCGAACAGG
rnacentral:rRNA from 1 species